GACGAACGCUGGCGGCGUGCUUAACACAUGCAAGUCGAACGAUGAACCACUUCGGUGGGGAUUAGUGGCGAACGGGUGAGUAACACGUGGGCAAUCUGCCCUUCACUCUGGGACAAGCCCUGGAAACGGGGUCUAAUACCGGAUACGACUGCUACGGGCAUCCGUGGUGGUGGAAAGCUCCGGCGGUGAAGGAUGAGCCCGCGGCCUAUCAGCUUGUUGGUGAGGUAACGGCUCACCAAGGCGACGACGGGUAGCCGGCCUGAGAGGGCGACCGGCCACACUGGGACUGAGACACGGCCCAGACUCCUACGGGAGGCAGCAGUGGGGAAUAUUGCACAAUGGGCGAAAGCCUGAUGCAGCGACGCCGCGUGAGGGAUGACGGCCUUCGGGUUGUAAACCUCUUUCAGCAGGGAAGAAGCGAAAGUGACGGUACCUGCAGAAGAAGCGCCGGCUAACUACGUG
rnacentral:rRNA from 1 species